UUGUCCGGAUAGAUUGGGCGUAAAGGGCGCGUAGGCGGCUCGGUAAGUCUGGAGUGAAAGUCCUGGCUUAAGGUGGGAAUUGCUUUGGAUACUGUCGGGCUUGAGUGCAGGAGAGGUUAGUGGAAUUCCCAGUGUAGCGGUGAAAUGCGUAGAGAUUGGGAGGAACACCAGUGGCGAAGGCGACUAACUGGACUGUAACUGACGCUGAGGCGCGAAAGUGUGGGGGGCAAACAGGAUUAGAUACCCUGGUAGUCCACACUGUAAACGAUGAGUGCUAGGUGUAGGGGGUAUCGACCCCUUCUGUGCCGCAGUCAACACAAUAAGCAUUCCGCCUGGGGAGUACGGCCGCAAGGUUGAAACUCAAAGGAAUUGACGGGGGCCCGCACAAGCAGCGGAGCAUGUGGUUUAAUUC
rnacentral:rRNA from 1 species